rnacentral:rRNA from 1 species
UACGGAGGGUGCAAGCGUUGUCCGGAAUUACUGGGCGUAAAGGGCUCGUAGGCGGCCAACUAAGUCGGAUGUGAAAUCCCCAGGCUCAACCUGGGAACUGCAUCCGAUACUGGAUGGCUUGAAUUCGGGAGAGGGAUGCAGAAUUCCAGGUGUAGCGGUGAAAUGCGUAGAGAUCUGGAAGAACACCAAAGGCGAAGGCAGCGUCCUGGGAAGCAUCUGACGCUCAUGUGCGAAAGCUAGGGGAGCGAACGGG